GCGAGACUCAGUGCUCCAAACACCUGUGAACCUACCAAAAAAUUUUCCUGCAGCGUUGUUUCGGCGGGUUUAGUCGGCGGAGUGGGGAAACUCUCUCUUCCGACGGGUUCGGCCUGGCCAGCCGAGCCGCCUGCCGGCAGCGCCAAACACUUUUAUUAUUUAUAGUGGAUUUUUUUCACUCUUCUGAGUGGUUAUUGUUAAGAAAACAAGCUAA
rnacentral:misc_RNA from 1 species